AGCCUGUUGUGCUCGAAACUGAAAACAUGGCAAGAAGCAAAUAAUUAGAGUUAAAAUUUUUCAAAAACAAUAAGCCAUAACUUUUUCUCAAUCCAUUGGUUAGAUGCCAAGUCUGCAUCAAUAUAUGCUUAGGACUCUAAUGUAUAGAAUUCACUUUCUGUUAAACUUGCAUCUAAAUGCCAGAAUCAACAUUUAGGGAAGAAGACAUUAUAAAAACUUCCACGGCCAGUAGCAGUGCUGCUAAUUGCUGCUACUGAGAUGAUAAUUACAUAAUCCCAGAAGGCCAUACAUGGUGCCUUCUACAACAUUUUGGACAUCUAAUCAAGCACGGUUACACAGCACUCAGUUCUUUAAGAUCACCAUUUUUUUUAUAUAUAUAUUUUUUAAGAUCACCAUGUUAAGCUAUAAAAUUUACACAAAUUUCUUAACAUACUCAUUUUACAGGAACAGUUUAAUAAAAGAAGUAUCAUAGUUCCAGUUGAGCUAAGCAAAAUCCUUCAAUUGAUCGUUAACACUAAAUACUGAGAACACACAGCUAGCAAGUAACUUUAAUUUUGCUAAGAAUUUG
rnacentral:misc_RNA from 1 species